rnacentral:rRNA from 1 species
UAGGGAAUCUUCCGCAAUGGGCGAAAGCCUGACGGAGCAACGCCGCGUGAGUGAUGAAGGUCUUCGGAUCGUAAAACUCUGUUAUUAGGGAAGAACAAAUGUGUAAGUAACUAUGCACGUCUUGACGGUACCUAAUCAGAAAGCCACGGCUAACUACGUGCCAGCAGCCGCGGUAAUACGUAGGUGGCAAGCGUUAUCCGGAAUUAUUGGGCGUAAAGCGCGCGUAGGCGGUUUUUUAAGUCUGAUGUGAAAGCCCACGGCUCAACCGGGGGGGGUCAUUGGAAACUGGAAAACUUAGGUGCAAAAGAGGAAGUGGAAUUCCAUGUGUAGCGGUGAAAUGCGCAGAGAUAUGGAGGAACACCAGUGGCGAAGGCGACUUUCUGGUCUGUAACUGACGCUGAUGUGCGAAAGCGUGGGGAUCAAACAGG